rnacentral:tRNA from 1 species
GCGGGCGUGGCGGAAUUGGUAGACGCGCCGGUCUUAGGAACCGGUUCCUGGCGAGUAUGGGUUCAAGUCCCUUCGCCCGCACCA